GAACGAACGCUGGCGGCGUGGAUUAGGCAUGCAAGUCGAACGAGGGAGUGUUCCGAAAGGGGCACAAACCGAGUGGCGUAAGGGUGAGUAAUGCAUUGAUAACCUACCUUUGAGACGGGGAUAACAACGUUCCGCAAGGGACUCCCGAAAGGGUUGCUAAUACCCGAUAAAACUCAUGGUGCUUCGGUAUCGGGAGUCAAAGGUUUGGGGCUGAAAGGUUCCAUAUGCUCAGAGAGGGGUCAAUGUCCUAUCAGCUAGUUGGCAGGGUAAAGGCCUACCAAGGCGAAGACGGGUAGCCGGCCUGAGAGGGUGGUCGGCCACAUUGGGACUGAGACACUGCCCAGACUCCUACGGGAGGCUGCAGUCGAGAAUCUUUCGCAAUGCCCGGAAGGGUGACGAAGCGACGCCGCGUGUGGGAAGAAGGCCUUCGGGUUGUAAACCACUGCCGGGAGUUAAGAAGUGUAAGGGGGUGAAUAGCCCUCUUACUUGACGUUAGCUCCGGAGGAAGCCACGGCUAACUCUGUGCCAGCAGCCGCGGUAAUACAGAGGUGGCAAGCGUUGUUCGGAAUUAUUGGGCGUAAAGAGCACGUAGGCGGCCCUACAAGUCAGCUGUGAAAUCCUUCUGCUCAACGGAAGAACGGCAGUUGAUACUAUAGGUGGGGAGGUGGCGGGAAGGGGAGAGUGGAACUUCUGGUGGAGCGGUGAAAUGCGUAGAUAUCAGAAGGAACAUCGGCGGCGAAAGCGACUCUCUGGCCCGUAACUGACGCUGAGGUGCGAAAGCUAGGGGAGCAAACGGGAUUAGAUACCCCGGUAGUCCUAGCCGUAAACGAUGGGCACUCGGUAGAGGGGUUUUGAUUAUCUCUCUGCCUGAGCUAACGCGUUAAGUGCCCCGCCUGGGGAGUACGGCCGCAAGCUAAAACUCAAAGAUUGACGGGGGCUCGCACAAGCGUGGAGCAUGUGCUUAUUCGAUGCACACGAGACCUUACCGGGCUUGACAUGUAGAGUAGAGCCGAAAGGUAC
rnacentral:rRNA from 1 species